rnacentral:tRNA from 1 species
GGGCCGAUGGUCCAGUUGGUUAAGACGCCGCCUUGACGUGGCGGAAUUUGCCUGUUUUGGCAACCGCAAAUCGCAGGUUCGAGUCCUGCUCGGCCCA